UACUUCAUUAAUGAAAAACCAGAACUGGAACGACCAAGAGCCAUAAAUGAUAACAAAAAUCACCAGAUCCAAGCAAACACAUGAGUCUCAGAUACUUAAGAAGUUACCACCAUGCUCAACAACAAAGAUGGGCAUCUAAAAGACCCAAAUCAUUUUCUUGGGGUGGGACAUCUUACCUAUGUAGCUCUGCUUUUUAACUUCGAGACCAGCAAUCUCCAGCAUCAGAAAAGCCGAGGGUGGCAGAAGAAUUGAGAAGAACAAGGUUCUUGAAUGGAAGACGUAAAUUCAAGUCUAAUGCCGACUAGAAGAAUCAAAGAAGAAAAGAAAGGUGGAGAAAGCUGUCACAGUCAAGUACCAAACUAGAGCCAGGAGAUCUGAGCAUCAAUGGUAGAAGUCAAAAGCAUCGGACGAAGGAUCCUAUUUCCAGUGAAGACUGCAGAAGGGGAAGCCCCAGCCAAUGCUGCCGGAUGGGGCCUGCUGCCCUCAGACGGGCUCUUCUGGCGCACAGCAGAACCGUCUGCUUACAUUUGUUUAUGUCUGCAGUGACAGAAUUGUAUGAUGUGACACCAUAUGGACCACGAACCACAAGCAUACUGUACACGGUCCUUCCCAGAAAACAUUUGCUGGCCCUGAACUAGACCAUGGAGAAAUACCAAGAUGCAGUUUUUCUAAACUCAAAGUUGGAGGAAAGUACAUACACUGAGCUGAGGAACACCUGGAAGUAUCAUGUUUAAAGGCACCGGUCAGGGGAAGCUUGGCUGAGGAGAAACAGAGAUGUGUCUGAUACAUUGAGAGCAAGAAUGAGGAAGUUCCUGGAACAGUAAUCACGAAGACAACCAAGGCCAAAAAGCACACAGCACAUUUUGUGUCAAGCCAAGCUCACCAGAGAAAUGCCAAGGCAGAAGAAGAAACUGAUUCAGUCUUGCAAAGAGGGCAGCGAUGUGUCUCUAUUAAUCUGAAAAUUCUUCACUGAGCUGACAGUUGGAUCAAAGCCUGUGGUUGAGUGACCUGGUGCCCCGAAGCUGAUGCAGGAAAGGCUGCAGCGCAUUACCGAGUCGGGUCUUGUCUACUCAGAAGCAUGCCGUAUUCCAACGCAGCAGUUAGAAACUCUUUGAGUUCUUCCUAGGUAUAGUAAGGAUUCACAGUACUGAAGACACAAAAGUUCUAGAAUGGGGUUUGUCAAGAAGUGGGCAGCCGCCAGCAUACUCUCUGGCCACUGUAUCCACCCUCAUGAUGGACCGAAAUCUCUUAAAUAAUGAGCCGAUAUGAACCGUCUGUCCGUAUUUCAGAGAUGACAAAGGGACAAAACUGGGAAAGAGGUCACCAAUCACCGUUGUCAAGAAGGAGACAAGGCCUGACCACACACCAGAGAGCCUGUAGACAGGGUGUAUUCUCAGAUGGGGAAGUCAUGGCAACACUAGCAGACCCCAGUCCUUGCUCCUGCUGUGGAAAGUGACUUAGUCCAAAGACUUGCUUGGACGUGACACUGGUGACAUCUGUACACUCAGAAAUUUGCAUUUUAGAGCAGGAAGCCAGAUCCCAGAUCUCAGCCGAUGAAUGAUCCCUCAAUAAGGGAAGACUGAUGAAGAAAGCCAUUGUAUGAAGAAAAGAAGGUGGGUAGGAUCCUGGGGUAAGAACUGGGAAGUGAGUGUGAUCAGGAUUCAAGAUGUGAGAUUCCCAGACAAUCAAUAAAAAUGUCAUGUUAAAAAGAAAAAAAAAAAAAAAAAACAAACAACAACAAUGGAACCCACCCACCUGUGCCUUUA
rnacentral:lncRNA from 1 species